CGGCGGAAGGCGCAUGCCUUUUCCGCCAAAGGAGGCGACUCCGGUGCCGGCUGGGCACGCGUGACAUUAGCUAGUUGGCGGGGCGACGGCCCACCAAGGCGACGAUGUCUAGGGGUUCUGAGAGGAAGGUCCCCCACACUGGUACUGAGACACGGACCAGACUCCUACGGGAGGCAGCAG
rnacentral:rRNA from 1 species